AUUAUUUGUUAGGGGAAAACAGAGUACAAAUGCUUUUGAUGCUUCAGUUGUUGCCAUCAGUCCAGAGUAUCCAGAAUUGG
rnacentral:sRNA from 1 species